rnacentral:lncRNA from 1 species
UGAAUUCUAACCCCAGAACUAUUUGGAAGAAGAGAAAACUGACUUCUACCAAUGUUCUCUAACCUCCACAAGUGGACACAAAGUCAGUCAGUCAGUCAGACAAUUCUUAGAGUCCAAGGUAGCCACCGUUUGUUUGAUCUCAGCAGGAGGCUCGUGAAAAAGUUUCUUUUGAUGCUACAAUCAGUAAAGCGGGCGUUUGCUAUUGAUUCUAGUCAUCCCUGGCUUCAUGAAUGCAUGAUUCGACUCUUUAAUUCUGUGUGUGAAAGUAAAGACUUACCUGAAGCAGUUAGAACAGUAUUAAAACAAGAAAUGAAUCGUCUUUUUGGAGCAACAAAUCCAAAGAAUUUUAAUGAAACCUUUCUGAAAAGGAAUUCUGAUUCAUUGCCACAUAGAUUAUCAGCUGCCAAAAUGAUAUAUUAUUUAGAUUCUUCUAGUCAGAAACGAGCAAUAGAGCUGGCAACAACACUUGAUGGAUCCCUCACCAACAGAAACCUUCAGACGUGCAUGGAGGUGUUGGAAGCCUUGUGUGGUGGUAGCUUAGGAGACUGUAAAGAAGCUGCUGAAGCGUAUAGAGUGAGUUGUCAUAAGCUUUUCCCUUAUGCUCUGGCUUUCAUGCCUCCUGGAUAUGAAGAGGAUAUGAAGAUCACAGUUAACGGAGAUAGUUCUGCAGAAACGGAAGAACUGGCCAAUGAAAUUUGAACAUCAUUAAACAAGCAAACGGAAUGACUUUGGACCAUAUCUAGUGUAUAAUAUUUUUGUCACGCACCUGCUGCAUUGCUCUUACUUACACAGAAUGAGAGGAGUAAAUGUUCUUGCCUUC